CAAGCUCGUCCGCUCAUGAGUCUCAAAACCCAAAGUCCUCUAUUCCUUCUCUCCUCCUUCCCUCGAGCUCGGACCUCACACUCUCUAAUGGCUUCCACUCUCGCCGUGCCACCCUCUCACUCAUCGGAUCCGAUGUCGUCGUCGGCGGACUUCGACGGACAAAAACGGGUGCAGCCACUAGAGAAAGAAUCUGAGUCUGCCUUGUCCGAGGAAACGCCGUCGUUUCGCUCCGAAUCUCCUCGCCGGAGCCUCAACGGAGGAGAGUCGCGAAUAGAGCGGGCUUGGGAUCACUGGAAGAGACUCGGUCGGCCUAAGCUGAUCGUUGCUCCAAUGGUGGAUAACUCGGAACUUCCCUUUCGUUUGCUUUGCCGUAAGUACGGCGCUGAAGCUGCCUACACUCCUAUGCUACACUCUCGCAUUUUCACAGAGACUGAGAAAUAUCGUAAUCAAGAAUUUACUACUUGCAAGGAGGACAGGCCGCUGUUUGUUCAAUUUUGUGCUAAUGAUCCAGACAUUUUACUGGAAGCUGCAAGGAGAGUGGAGCCAUAUUGUGAUUAUGUUGAUAUUAAUUUGGGUUGUCCUCAACGUAUUGCUAAACGUGGGAACUAUGGGGCUUUUCUAAUGGAUAACCUUCCUCUUGUGAAAUCUUUAGUCCAAAAGUUGGCUCUCAACCUUGAGGUUCCUGUGUCAUGCAAAAUCCGUCUCUUCCCUAAUUUACAGGAUACAAUUAACUAUGCUAGGAUGCUAGAGGAUGCUGGUUGCUCUCUUUUGGCCGUCCAUGGGCGAACGAGAGAUGAAAAAGAUGGAAAGAAAUUUAGAGCUAACUGGAGUUCCAUCAAGGCUGUUAAGGAAUCGGUUAGGAUCCCCGUCCUUGCAAAUGGGAACAUAAGGCACAUGGAUGAUGUUCAUAUGUGUUUGGCAGAGACAGGUGUUGAAGGGGUGCUUUCUGCUGAGACUCUUCUUGAAAAUCCAGCUCUUUUUGCUGGAUUUCGAACUGCUGAAUGGGUCGCAGGCAGUGAAGAAAGCUUUGUAGAUGGUAAACUAGACCAGGCAGAUCUACUGGUGGAGUACUUGCAGCUAUGCGAACAGUAUCCUGUGCCAUGGCGAAUGAUCCGCGCCCAUGUCCACAAGAUGUUGGGAGAAUGGUUUAGGAUUCAACCACAAGUUAGAGAAGAUCUGAAUGCACAGUCGACACUGACCUUCGAAUUUCUUUACGGUUUGGUGGACAGGCUUAGAGAGCUAGGGGUAAGAAUUCCACUCUACCGAAAAGAUGAUCAUCUUGCAGCAGAUAGUUUGGAUGCUUCAACUUCUUGACACAAUCUCAACCAGUUGUCCGUGCUCGAAAUUGGACACAUGGGAAAAAGAAUCAGUGGUGCACGAUGGCAGCGGUGAUGAACGCUGAUGAACGACAUCGGCGAUGGAGGGAGAUGAACGACAGUGGCGAUGGAGGGAGAUGAACGGCAGCGAUGGAAGAAGAAAAUCGAUAAAGUAGAAGAUGUCAAGUGAGGUUGAAAAAGUUUGAUUUGGUUUUAUUUCUUUGUAACUUAUCCUUUAUUUUGGGCAUUAGAUUCAAUUUAAUCUAAAAUUGGUGUAAAAAAAUAAUGUAAGAAUGGUGUCUAAGCAACCUAUUCCUUCAAUAAUAAGUGAGUUACAUCUAGAAAAUGAUCAUAUGCGUCGUGCCCCAAAUGUUCUAAAUGGUAAGAUCAUGCCAACUUUUAAUAGCAAUAUAUAUAAAAACAUGACUUUUUU